UCCACCUAUUGUCGCUGCAGCUCGCUCCUCCGGCCGCCCUUCGGCCGUCGUCGUCGCCAGAUAUUCCUAUAGGUUCUUCCCCGUCUCUCUUGCCUCUGACUACUUUCCUGUCUUUUUCUCUCAUGGGAUCCCCAUAUUCCUACAGCCACCAGAGGGUACCACUGGUCAUCAAAGAACGAUUUGGUGCAGUGUUGAUAAGAAAACUGGACCAGUAAGGAUGCAAAUCCAUGUGAUGAGGACUGAUGAUUGCGGAACAUCGGCAAGUCCACAGGUCUCGGUGGACGGGCCUCGCCGGUUUCGUUAAGGAGAGCUGACAAGAAGAAGGUUGCGACAUGUUUUUUUUAUCUGCAUUUAUGUAGCACAGGCAGGAGGACCGUGGAAUCAGCUCGAGCUGCUGUGUUUGGGGCCUCUGAUGUGCUGCUGCCACCCGGAGUCGACUUGCUGCUCAAAGCCAAUGCCCAAAAAGCGUUUUUAGAAGGAGAAGGAUCAUCCAAAAAAUGGAUGUACUAAAGUGGAUUCCGUGGUUCAGCAAAACUGAUGCCCUUGCUGGAUAUGCAUUCAUUGAUGGAUCUUACAUGAUGUCCUGGCUAGAUAGCUGAGAUUGAUUGUGCUUGAAUUGAAGAGUGAUGCCUUGAAGCUAGAUGGUAUCUGGUCUACAUCUAUUUUCCAGAUUAUCCCAAGCUAUUGCUUUUAUCCUCGAACUUGACUUAGCAUUAAUUCAGUUGGAAGAACAAAAUGGCCAGGGACAAACAAUAUAAAGGUUCUGUUGUGCUUGCUUAGCUGACUAAAAUUCUGGAAAACUAGAGUGUAUAAUCUACAGAACCUGUCUCUCUAAGAGGACCAAGCUGCCCGAACAAUAAUAGUACAACCAAUACAAUUAGUUGUCAUUAAUUUAAUGUGCACCAUACUGCAGUUUGAGUUCUAGGGAUGUCAUAUUGUUAACAUGGAGGAAUGUUGAAAAGAAUACAUCGGAGCGUGCAUUCUAAUUUGUAAUUAGAGACGAGCUAUUGACAUGAAUGAUUGAUGCCAGGGACUUAAAUACCCAAUGUAAUUUAAAAAAUCAAUUUGUGUUCCUUCAACAUCAGAUGUAAAUGUUCUAGGUGAUUAUAUGCAAACCUUGAGGCUACUUGAACAUACCAUAUAUUUCUAUUUUUCCUAUUGCAUAUACGAGCAUCUUUUAGUUCAACCGAACCCCUAUGAACUACCGGGAAUAGAUACAUUAGCACCAACAAAUUAUGGUUUGAGCAAUUCGUUGACAAGUAGCAAAUCUGCUGCAGACCAAGAUGGACAGUGGGGAAAUGGAUUAGCAAGGUUUUAAUAUUUCUGAUUUGCUACUAAAAAAAUGUCCGGUAAAAUAGUAAUACACUAUUGCAGGGUUCAGAUAGUGGUCAGAGCAGCUGCGACCUACUCCAUGCGUACAGUUUAGUGUAACAAUACGAAACUGGCUACAAUACACACUCAUAUUAAUGGUAUGCUUUUGGACGCUCUCGAGUUUUUGCCGGAACUACUUAGAAACCUUAACUUCCUCCAUAUAAUUCUCGAGUCUUUGCGGUGGUUAAUUAUACUGUAGGUCGCGCUUUGGCUGACAAGGAUAGCAGGCGAUGGGCAAGGAUGAUGUCGCGGCCAAGCGAGCAGUACCUCAUCAGUGGGCCAUCCUAGGUUCAGAGCAAGCUAAGUAAGAGCAGUAGAUAAGUACCUGGCCUUGGAGAGCGAGGAACUCCCGGUAUUCCAUCGGCGUUGAGGCUCCAAGAAGGAGCCGGUGAGGAUAGAGGUUGAGACCAGGCGAUACCACCAUCGCGCCGGCGAGCGCAUGCAGCAUCUAGGGCCAAGCGCUCCGGCAUCGACUAAGUUGCUACAGCCAAAUUCUUAGUUCAAGCAGAAUCACCAAGUCAAGUGUCGCAGCCUGGCACUAGCGGUACAACACCACCGACAACUCGCCGGAGUGCCCGCGUCCAAACUAAGGGCCCUUUUGUUGUGGUUUUUUUUUUGUCUUUUUGGCUUUGGCAAAAGCUAUAAAAAGCACCUAAAUAGGUGCUUUUUUGGCUUUUGGAUUUUGGAAGCCAAAAACAAAUAUCCUAUUCUUUUGGCUUCCAAAACCCAAAAGCCAAAAAAAUCACCUAUUUAGGUGCGUUUUUUAGCUUUUGCCAAAACCAAAAAGCCAAAAAAAGCCACAACAAAAGGGCCCUAAGCAUGGAUCAGGUUUUGCUCGGAAGGAGUUCCACCAUGCAAUGGCAUGAUGCACGGGAAUCACUUAAUGAGUAUGAGGGGAGUACAAAGGCGCGGCCAGCAGCGCUGAUUGGAGCAGGGGAGAAUAGAAAUUGACGCCGGCGGCGCUGGAGCUAUACAUGA